rnacentral:tRNA from 1 species
AGUUCUUUAGUAUAAUUUAGUAUGUUUGAUUUCCAAUCAAAGGGUAAAAGGAAUUA